AGUGAGCGCUGGCGGUAGGCCUAACACAUGCAAGUCGAACGGCAGCACAGUAAGAGCUUGCUCUUACGGGUGGCGAGUGGCGGACGGGUGAGGAAUACAUCGGAAUCUACUUUUUCGUGGGGGAUAACGUAGGGAAACUUACGCUAAUACCGCAUACGACCUACGGGUGAAAGCAGGGGAUCUUCGGACCUUGCGCGAUUGAAUGAGCCGAUGUCGGAUUAGCUAGUUGGCGGGGUAAAGGCCCACCAAGGCGACGAUGCGUAGCUGGUCUGAGAGGAUGAUCAGCCACACUGGAACUGAGACACGGUCCAGACUCCUACGGGAGGCAGCAGUGGGGAAUAUUGGACAAUGGGCGCAAGCCUGAUCCAGCCAUACCGCGUGGGUGAAGAAGGCCUUCGGGUUGUAAAGCCCUGUUGUUGGGAAAGAAAAGCAGCAGGUUAAUACCCCGCUGUUCUGACGGUACCCAAAGAAUAAGCACCGGCUAACUUCGUG
rnacentral:rRNA from 1 species